UUUUUUGCAUAACACUUUACUAUAGUUAAAGAUAUUAUUACACGUUUCAUUUUGAAGGUAAGUUAAUCAACAUUUAAGCCGACAGCAAGCCUGCUUAAAAACCUUUAAUCCUGCCAAAUGCGUAAAUUUCUAAACGUAAAGUUUCAGGUAUCGUGUUAUCAUUAUAAUCUCGUUUUAAUGGAAUAGAAAGUACAAAAUUUUUGUUUUGAGCUUUCAGACGACUGUAUAUACAAGUUCUGCUCACUGGGUCGUGAAAGUCAACGCUGUGUCAAUGCUCUUUACGCGUACACGAAUAACAUAACCCAACACGUCUGAUUUCGCGGAACCUAUCCUGUUUAUACAUAAAUAACUGAAAAUAGUUUUAAACUGGUUACAAGAGAUCAACGUGAAAUACUCAGACGAUUCACCAUGAAAUAUCCAGAUCAAAUAGAAAGUUGCGAAACUCAAGUAAUAAACCACUGAAUCAGGCUGAUACAGACGUCUAAUAAGGGCGCUGACCUCGAUGAUAACGGAAUCAGAGAAUAAAUCGAUUUAAUCACGUU